rnacentral:rRNA from 1 species
GUGAGUCGACCCCUAAGGCGAGGCCGAAAGGCGUAGUCGAUGGGAAACAGGUUAAUAUUCCUGUACUUGGUGUUACUGCGAAGGGGGGACGGAGAAGGCUAUGUUGGCCGGGCGACGGUUGUCCCGGUUUAAGCGUGUAGGCUGGUUUUCCAGGCAAAUCCGGAAAAUCAAGGCCGAGGCGUGAUGACGAGGCACUACGGUGCUGAAGCAACAAAUGCCCUGCUUCCAGGAAAAGCCUCUAAGCAUCAGGUAACAUCAAAUCGUACCCCAAACCGACACAGGUGGUCAGGUAGAGAAUACCAAGGCGCUUGAGAGAACUCGGGUGAAGGAACUAGGCAAAAUGGUGCCGUAACUUCGGGAGAAGGCACGCUGAUACGUAGGUGAAGCGACUUGCUCGUGGAGCUGAAAUCAGUCGAAGAUACCAGCUGGCUGCAACUGUUUAUUAAAAACACAGCACUGUGCAAACACGAAAGUGGACGUAUACGGUGUGACGCCUGCCCGGUGCCGGAAGGUUAAUUGAUGGGGUUAGCGCAAGCGAAGCUCUUGAUCGAAGCCCCGGUAAACGGCGGCCGUAACUAUAACGGUCCUAAGGUAGCGAAAUUCCUUGUCGGGUAAGUUCCGACCUGCACGAAUGGCGUAAUGAUGGCCAGGCUGUCUCCACCCGAGACUCAGUGAAAUUGAACUCGCUGUGAAGAUGCAGUGUACCCGCGGCAAGACGGAAAGACCCCGUGAACCUUUACUAUAGCUUGACACUGAACAUUGAGCCUUGAUGUGUAGGAUAGGUGGGAGGCUUUGAAGUGUGGACGCCAGUCUGCAUGGAGCCGACCUUGAAAUACCACCCUUUAAUGUUUGAUGUUCUAACGUGGACCCGUGAUCCGGGUUGCGGACAGUGUCUGGUGGGUAGUUUGACUGGGGCGGUCUCCUCCUAAAGAGUAACGGAGGAGCACGAAGGUUGGCUAAUCCUGGUCGGACAUCAGGAGGUUAGUGCAAUGGCAUAAGCCAGCUUGACUGCGAGCGUGACGGCGCGAGCAGGUGCGAAAGCAGGUCAUAGUGAUCCGGUGGUUCUGAAUGGAAGGGCCAUCGCUCAACGGAUAAAAGGUACUCCGGGGAUAACAGGCUGAUACCGCCCAAGAGUUCAUAUCGACGGCGGUGUUUGGCACCUCGAUGUCGGCUCAUCACAUCCUGGGGCUGAAGUAGGUCCCAAGGGUAUGGCUGUUCGCCAUUUAAAGUGGUACGCGAGCUGGGUUUAGAACGUCGUGAGACAGUUCGGUCCCUAUCUGCCGUGGGCGCUGGAGAACUGAGGGGGGCUGCUCCUAGUACGAGAGGACCGGAGUGGACGCAUCACUGGUGUUCGGGUUGUCAUGCCAAUGGCACUGCCCGGUAGCUAAAUGCGGAAGAGAUAAGUGCUGAAAGCAUCUAAGCACGAAACUUGCCCCGAGAUGAGUUCUCCCUGACCCUUUAAGGGUCCUGAAGGAACGUUGAAGACGACGACGUUGAUAGGCCGGGUGUGUAAGCGCAGCGAUGCGUUGAGCUAACCGGUACUAAUGAACCGUGAGGCUUAACCUU